rnacentral:lncRNA from 1 species
ACGAACUAGGAGUCGUCGAUGCGGGAUGGUGUGGGAGGGGCCAUGGUGGUACUUCCUGAGCAUUGAGACAUGAAAGACAUCAUGUAGACCCAAAAAUUCCAGUGUCAAAGCAAUAUGGUAAGCCACUGGGCCAACAACUCUAAUAUCUCGAAGGAUCCCAUGUAACAAGGACUCGAAUUUCCUCUCUUCUCAUACUGCAUACUUCAUUUGUAUGGAAAGAUCAUGAGAAAAACAUGAUCACCCAUAGCAAAUUCUAAAUCUUUCCUCCAAAUGUCAGCAUAGCACUUCUAUCGACUCUGG